CUUGUACACACCGCCCGUCACACCAUGGGAGUUGGCUUUACCUGAAGACGGUGCGCUAACCCGCAAGGGAGGCAGCCGGCCACGGUAGGGUCAGCGACUGGGGUGAAGUCGUAACAAGGUAGCCGUAGGGGAACCUGCGGCUGGAUCACCUCCUUU
rnacentral:rRNA from 1 species